rnacentral:tRNA from 1 species
GUCCGGUUAGCUCAGCUGGGAGAGCAUAUGCCCUACAAGCAUGGGGUCGGCGGUUCGAGUCCGUCACCGGACACCA